UCUGCACGCCUUUGGACAUUUGUCCAUCUCCAGUUCCUUCAGGCAUCCAGUGCAGGCCCUUCAACUUUUGGACAAGGACUCACACUGACUCUGCAGAGCACUCCAGCCCUUCCACCUUUGACUGGAUCCUCCGGCUCACCAGGGGGCAGGCGGCCAUUCUGGAUCCUUCCGUCCUGACUCUGCGGGAGGCCAACGAAAGCCUACCUUGUAAACCCAUUACAUAGCAUAUGUAUUUUAUAUGAAAUCGGUUCCUCCAGCGAACCCUAACUAACCACGCCCAACACAAAGGGAUCCAAAUGCUCCUCAGGAACAGGGCUCAGACCCUGAAAGGAUACCGAGAGCACGAGGGCUCCUUCAGGCCACCUCUUCCUUUGUCCCCCAAGACGCUCUGCAGCCACGUCAUGUCAUGGGAGAAGGAAGUUUCCAGGGUGUAGGGAGGACACUCAGGGUUAGGGGCUGACAGCCUGAGGACUCAUUUUUGUGACUCCAUGCAUGGCUCCUCCUUCUGCACCCCCUCACCUCAAUUUACCCAUUUUGUCCAGAUCUUUGUUAAUUCUUCGUUGUCUUGACAGAAUUUGACCACCCAUCCAAAGCCUGUCUGAUGAACCGUGAGUGGUGGUGUCUUCCCUCCCUGAGAAGUAGGCUAACUCUGGAAAAGUUCGGUGUAUUUGGUGCUCGGGUGACGUGCGCUUCUCAGUGAGAACUUGCAAAGCCCAAGUGGGUUGAUGUCAAGCUUUGGCUCCCAGAAGUCAGAGCUGGGCACCAGGUUCUCACAGUGGCUCAGGCUACAGGUCACCAGAGGAGAGAAGGCCUUGGAGUCACUCAAGGAUCGAGUGUCUGUCAGGAACCAUCUCAUGGGCAGCCACCAGAGGAGCAGUUGGACCAGCGUCCGGCAGAAAAGGAACAGGAUGGAUGCAGACCCAGAGCAAAGAGCAGAGGGAACAGGAUAAGCGUGCUGGUGUGGGCUAAAUUGCAUCCCGCAAAGAGGUGGUUACGUCCUCAUCCCACUGCCUCAGGACGCGGACUUACUUGGAAGUAGGAUCUUUCCAGAAGGAAUCACGUUACGCUUCUCGCUCGGAUGUGGUUCAGGCAGCAGUCUUGGUCCCCGCACUGCGUGACCAUCCUGUUUUCCUCGGUGUGACGGCUGACUUUGUGUGCCAACACAACUGAGUCACAGUGCAUCUGAGAACGCUAUCAACUGGAACCAGAAAUGUCCCCUGAAACUCUACUUCUCACUUGUCCAAAGCUACCUGCACCCAAAUCUGCAUUCUGGGAUUCUCAGACCAAGAAUGAAGAGAUAGCCGGGUGUGGUGGUGCACGCCCGUGAUCCCAGCACUCGGGAGGCUGAGCCAAGCACUGUGAGCUCGAGGCCAGCCUUGGCUACAUAGUGAGACCCUGUCCCCAAAAAAGCAAAGCAAAACAAAUCAAAACAAAAAGUAAAGAAGUGAAAGAUCUGCAGUCACUGCUUCUACAAUGGGAUCUUGGGCUCUAAUUUACAUAAACACCUCCGUGCUGGAGAAAAUACACGCUUGUUCUGUGGAGUGGAUCGGAAUGGUGAGAUGAAUAAUAGUGACAGCAACAGCGACUCCUUGACAUCCCAUGCCGCUUACACACCAGACCCCGGCUGAGCUCUGUGCCCACGCUGUGAUCCUCCCGGUGGACAGUGGAGUGGGGGCAGGUUUGGUGAGUGAUCGCAUCCCUGAGCCCAGGGUCUGGGUCCUGGCUCCCCCGUCCAUCAUGUGCCCCUGCACUUUGUGCUCUGGGAGGAGAGGCGUGGCCAAGGGGCAAGUGGUCCUCAGUGCCCUCCUUUGCCAAGCCUGUACCCUGGAAGUGGGGCUGCGUCUGCCCAGAGGAGGGGAUGCGAGCACUGGCCUGGUCCAACCCCACCCCUGCCAGCUGGGUGGCCUUGUGAAAGUCACUUCUCCAGGCUCUUCGCUUUGACUUCCUGGGUGGAGGAUGGAGUUACAGCACCCCAACUCCACAGGGCCCUGGGUGGGGUUAGGUGGGACCAUGCAGGUGACAUGCUGGGCGGCUGGGCCAUGCCAGAGUUGGGAAAUGCUGGCUAUCCAUACUAGUAGCAGCUAUAGUCUUACUUGCCAAGGAGAACCGAGAAAGGAGAGUGGUGGAGAACGGGCUGCGGGCCGUGCCUCUGUUUGGAAGUGACAGAGCCAGGAGGGAGAAGGCUGGGGAGAGGAGAGGCUGCUCAAGUGCCAGGUGUUUCUCAGGGCUAGGCUGGAGGAAGCCAAGGGAAGGGCUGAGGGUGUGACCGCUAGAGACCGUCAGGGGCCUUUCCACCGGAAGUGCAUGGCGACUGGCGGAGAGGAAUCCACUGCUGAAGGCGCUCAUGCCUGACGGGGGAAGAGUAACCCUGGCCUCUUCAUCAGAAUCGUACUCUGAAGUACGCUGAUCUGAGUGCCUGUGGUCCCCGAACUCACAGGGAAACCCUAACCUCCACGGUGGUGGCCCUAGAAGGUGGAUCUGGGGGUGGGGCUUAGGCCUCAUGGAGAGGACUAGUGUCACAAAGGGGCCGAGACCCUUCCGGCCCUCUGUGGCCUGAGGACCCAGCAAGGAGGCACUGUCCAUGCCAGACACCAACCCUAAUCAGACACCGAUCUGCCGUGAGCUGGGACCUCCCAGCCUUCCGAGCUGUAAGAAGCAGAUUUCGGUUGUUUGUAAGCCACUCUGCUUCUGGAAUUUGGUUCUAGCACCCUGAGCAGCCUGAGCCAUGGCGGGCCAGAGGCACACAGCCCAGGUGUUUGGGGUGGGUUUGAGGCUGGCAAAUGCUUCCUAUGUACUUUGUUUAAGGCAACAUGGCCCUCUGAAGUUCGAAGGGCCGGGUCCACACAGCCCAGGGGAGCAUGGAGCCCUGCCCCACCCUGAAUCUGCUGGAGGACCUGGCCCCUCUCCAGACUCCUGCAUGGUGCGGUGGCUUUUGUCACCUGCAUGCCCCCGAUGAGACCCUGUCUGCUCUCAGGAGAGAAGGGGGUUGG